rnacentral:rRNA from 1 species
GGCAAGCGUUGUCCGGAAUUAUUGGGCGUAAAGGGCUCGCAGGCGGUUCCUUAAGUCUGAUGUGAAAGCCCCCGGCUCAACCGGGGAGGGUCAUUGGAAACUGGGGAACUUGAGUGCAGAAGAGGAGAGUGGAAUUCCACGUGUAGCGGUGAAAUGCGUAGAGAUGUGGAGGAACACCAGUGGCGAAGGCGACUCUCUGGUCUGUAACUGACGCUGAGGAGCGAAAGCGUGGGGAGCGAACAGGAUUAGAUACCCUGGUAGUCCACGCCGUAAACGAUGAGUGCUAAGUGUUAGGGGGUUUCCGCCCCUUAGUGCUGCAGCUAACGCAUUAAGCACUCCGCCUGGGGAGUACGGUCGCAAGACUGAAACUCAAAGGAAUUGACGGGGGCCCGCACAAGCGGUGGAGCAUGUGGUUUAAUUCGAAGCAACGCGAAGAACCUUACCAGGUCUUGACAUCCUCUGACAAUCCUAGAGAUAGGACGUCCCCUUCGGGGGCAGAGUGACAGGUGGUGCAUGGUUGUCGUCAGCUCGUGUCGUGAGAUGUUGGGUUAAGUC